CCAACUGCGCCAUUGUCGUGAUCUGGCCAAGCCACCAUCCUUUAAAGCAACCUUUCGGAUUCAAGAAAUUAAGGAACACACGGUGUCAUGUUCUUCUGUUGAUUAAUCUAACACGACUGACGUUUAUUCGCAUUUCCUGUCAUCUCGAAUGAUCUUUCACGCUCGUCCUAUCUCUCUCUCUAUCUAUCACUUUCUUGUCUAUCCUAAUCCCUACACCAACUAUUCCUUCUGGCCCUGCUUUCCUGCACCAUUUUUGCUGCAACCUCUACCCCAACUGCUACAAUGGAAGCUAUUGCUAUUGCCGCUGCGAUUAAAAAAAUGUUUCUUAUUUUUACAGGAGCGUUUAUGUAUAUUUAAAUAUUUAAUAUUACAGCUCUUUCGAGUUAGAGGACCAAUAAUGGAAGAAAACUGCUGCAGGCACUUGAGCCAUCAAAAUAACAACGGGGUCAUGGGGAUGGUGAAAGAUAAAUAAUAGAGUCGAGAUUAAUCGUUUUUUUAUCAUUGAUUUUCUUCCAGAACGUUGAGAAAAGCCUUCGGCUAAUUGCCGAGGUGGAGAGACGGCCUGCUUUAUGGCAAAAGCGGUCGGAUUUCUACAAGAACGGUAUUCGGCGAAGGGAUGCGUGGACCGAGAUUGGUGGACUCUUGGACCUCACCGUCGAAGAGGCGAGCUACCAGUGGAGGAAGCUGCUGACCAGCUACCGGACUUACAAGUCCAAGCUGCUUAAAAGUCAGCAAAGUGGAGCAGAUACUAAUCAAAUUUAAAAUAAUAUGAAAGUGUUCAAUGACAUAAUUUUAUCAUUCGUAGCGGCUGAGGACAUUUUCCAGCCAAGAUGGUUCGCCUUCGACUCGAUGAGGUUCCUCGAUGAUACCCUGAAGGACGGCACGCAUCUCGAUACGUUCGAUGACGACCUAGAACAACACACCUCCACCCAAGCCCACCUAAUCUCUUCUUGUUCCUAUUCCUCAAUUCCGCCGCAACCAACAAUCCCAGCACCAACAACUCCAGCACCAACUCCAGCACCAACCACAGCAACAACCCCAGCACAAACCCUAGCACCGACCCCAGCACCAAUCCGGGCACAAACAACUCCAGCACCAACCCCAGCACAAACCCCAGCACCGACCCCAGCACCAAUCCGGGCACAAACAACUCCAGCACCAACCCCAGCACAAACCCCAGCACCGACCCCAGCACCUACCCCAGCACCAAGCCCAGCACCAACCUCAGCGAUGGAAAAUUAUUUCUCCAUGUUUGGCCAGUGGGUAGGGGCAUGGUUAAACCAUUUACCACGCGAGCAACAGAACGAUGCCACAAAUCGUUUGCGGCAGACGAUGCAGGAGUGGGAUCUCCAAUAUAAUAAAAAAAUAAUAAAAAUAUUUACAAAACCA